UACAGGGGGUGCAAACGUUGCUCGGAAUUAUUGGGCGUAAAGCGCGCGUAGGCGGCUACUUAAGUCGGAUGUGAAAGCCCUUGGCUCAACUGAGGAAGUGCACCCGAAACUGAGUGGCUUGAGUACGAAAGAGGGUCGCGGAAUUCCCGGUGUAGAGGUGAAAUUCGUAGAUAUCGGGAGGAACACCGGUGGCGAAGGCGGCGACCUGGGUCGAUACUGACGCUGAUGCGCGAAAGCGUGGGGAGUAAACAGG
rnacentral:rRNA from 1 species